UUAUUUGAGAGUUUGAUCCUGGCUCAGGAUGAACGCUGGCGGCGUGCCUAACACAUGCAAGUUGAGCGAUUUACUUCGGUAAAGAGCGGCGGACGGGUGAGUAACGCGUGGGUAACCUACCCUGUACACACGGAUAACAUACCGAAAGGUAUGCUAAUACGGGAUAAUAUAUUUGAGAGGCAUCUCUUGAAUAUCAAAGGUGAGCCAGUA
rnacentral:rRNA from 1 species